rnacentral:lncRNA from 1 species
AGGGUUCUUCGGGCAACUUUCCUUUCCGGGUGUUCUGAAGCGGUUUUCCUGUAAUCCUCAGUGAGGAAACCCACCGUGAAUCGGAUUGCCGUUCAGUCCCACGGAAGCCUGGCUCGUUGGCCAUGUCGGGGACGCAUGUUCAUUAAGUUCAUUAAAAUAAUUUCAUUUGUCUUGGUUUGAAGACUGCUUCAUUCUGCCUCUAGUACCAGCGGUUUCUCUGUUCUGUGAUCAAUGUGAUUCACAGGAACUCCUUAAGUAACAAACGAAAUGAGCCAGGGGCGUGGAAAAUAUGACUUCUAUAUUGGUCUGGGAUUGGCUAUGAGCUCCAGCAUUUUCAUUGGAGGAAGUUUCAUUUUGAAAAAAAAAGGCCUCCUUCGACUUGCCAGGAAAGGCUCUAUGAGAGCAGGUCAAGGUGGCCAUGCAUAUCUUAAGGAAUGGUUGUGGUGGGCUGGACUGCUGUCAAUGAAUUAGUGCAGUUCAAAAC